UACGAAGGGGGCUAGCGUUGUCCGGAUUUACUGGGCGUAAAGCGCACGUAGGCGGAUCGUUAAGUCGGGGGUGAAAUCCUGGAGCUCAACUCCAGAACUGCCUUCGAUACUGGCGAUCUUGAGUCCGGAAGAGGUGAGUGGAACUCCUAGUGUAGAGGUGGAAUUCGUAGAUAUUAGGAAGAACACCAGUGGCGAAGGCGGCUCACUGGUCCGGUACUGACGCUGAGGUGCGAAAGCGUGGGGAGCAAACAGGG
rnacentral:rRNA from 1 species